CGCGGGGUGGAGCAGUUGGUAGCUCGUCGGGCUCAUAACCCGAAGGUCGUUGGUUCGAAUCCAUCCCCCGCUACCA
rnacentral:tRNA from 2 species